GUGCCAGCAGCCGCGGUAAUACGUAGGGUGCAAGCGUUGUCCGGAAUUACUGGGCGUAAAGAGCUCGUAGGUGGUUUGUCACGUCGUCUGUGAAAUUCCACAGCUUAACUGUGGGCGUGCAGGCGAUACGGGCUGACUUGAGUACUGUAGGGGUAACUGGAAUUCCUGGUGUAGCGGUGAAAUGCGCAGAUAUCAGGAGGAACACCGAUGGCGAAGGCAGGUUACUGGGCAGUCACUGACG
rnacentral:rRNA from 1 species